CCCCGCCCUGCCGCGCCCCAGGGACGCAGCGCGCACAGGGACGCAGCGCGCACGCAACCGCGUUUCCGGCGCUACCUGGCUGCUGUGCCCCGCAGCUUGUGGCGCUUGUGGACCGCGUGGGCCUGCGGGAGAUCGAGUUGGUCAGUGGAUCUUGCUGAGUUUCCUGUGGGCCUGUGUGAAAUGAUCGGCAUCUGUUCAGCGUUACUAUGUGCUAAGCACCUUUGCAUGUGUCAUCCGUUGAAUGCUCACAACAGCCCCAGGAAAUUGGUACCAGUGUUAUCCUCAUGAUUCUUGUUCUCUUUUCUGGACUGAGAAGAGAAGAAUGGAGAAGAGCCCCUUCCCAUUGUGAGUGGACAGUAAAUGGGUAUGGAGUAGCCAGAAGCUUCUGGAAACCAGAGUUCCUUUCCUCAGCUGAAAAGAACCCUAAGAGUAGACUGCCUGGGAUUGCGUGGGGGAUGGGAGGAUCACUGGACCUGUGGGCCAGAGACUUGGGUUUGAGUCCCAGCUCUGGCUUUGCUGAGGUGUGUGACUCUCAGAAAGUCAUCCAACCUCUGUGGGCCUUAUUGUCAGUGAUAGAACCUGUGGGGAAUGAUUACCUUUGAGUCCCAUCCUAUGACAAUAUGGUUUGUUUUUAAAGCCAGGUUAGCACUGACUUCUCUCUCGUGUUUUCAGAGUGCCUUUGCAUUGGUUUGGCUUUGGCUACACAGCACUGGUUGUUUCUGGUGGGAUCGUUGGCUAUGUAAAAACAGGUAUGGUUUUGUUGUUACUUAGCC
ensembl:lncRNA